rnacentral:pre_miRNA from 1 species
CUCCUUCUAUAAGUAGUGGUGCCGCAGGUACGUCCUGGUCACUCUACCUGCACACCGGUGCUUACAUUGGGAG